AUGUUCCGGCCGGCGAGAACUUUAUUAUCUACGUUAAAUCGUGUCAAAGAAUGCCGUGCAGUACACGUUGCUAGUCAGAAUUUAGCGGAAAUUACAGAAUAUGAAUCUGUCAUUUCGGACGAGUACAAAAGAGGACCUGCAGAAGGCAGGGCCCUUUAUUUGGAUGCUCAAGCCACUACUCCACUGGACCCACGAGUACUAGAUAAAAUGAUGCCUUAUUUAACAUCACUGUAUGGAAAUCCACAUUCCAGAACCCAUAUGUAUGGGUGGGAAACAGAAGCUGCUGUAGAAGUUGCUAGAAAACAAGUAGCAAAUUUAAUUGGUGCUGAUAGCAAGGAAAUUAUAUUUACAUCUGGUGCAACAGAAUGUAAUAAUAUAGCAGUAAAAGGUAUAGCAAGGUUCUACAAAGGAAAAAAGAAUCAUAUUGUGACAACCCAGAUAGAGCACAAAUGUGUAUUAGAUUCCUGUAGAGCCUUGCAGGCAGAAGGCUUUGAAGUAACUUAUAUUCCAGUAAAUCCAAAAGGCCUUAUUGAUAUAAAUCAACUAGAAGAUGCAAUUAAACCAACUACUUCUUUAGUUUCUGUUAUGAUGGUAAAUAAUGAAAUUGGUGUGCAACAGCCUAUUGCAGAAAUUGGUGCUAUUUGUAGGAAGAAGAAGGUGUUCUUUCACACAGAUGCAGCUCAAGCAAUUGGCAAAAUUCCAAUUGAUGUUAAUGCUAUGAAUAUUGACUUAAUGUCUAUUAGUAGUCACAAACUAUAUGGUCCAAAAGGAGUUGGAGCUUUAUUUGUGAGGAGAAGACCAAGGGUACGUGUAGAACCAAUUCAAAGUGGUGGUGGCCAAGAAAGGGGUAUGAGGAGUGGUACUGUUCCAACAGCUUUAGCAGUAGGUCUAGGAGCAGCUUGUAAUUUGGCACAAACAGAAAUGGAGUAUGAUCAUAAAUAUAUCACAAUGCUUUCGAAUCAUUUGAUCGAUAAAAUAAUGACAAAUUUGCCACACGUUAUACGAAACGGAGAUGAAGUAGCUUGGUAUCCUGGAUGUGUGAAUUUAUCCUUUGCAUAUGUAGAAGGUGAAUCUUUAUUAAUGGCCUUAAAAAAUAUUGCUUUGAGCAGCGGUUCUGCUUGUACUAGCGCAAGUUUAGAGCCUAGUUACGUAUUAAGGGCAAUUGGAACAUCAGAAGAUCUCGCACAUUCCAGUAUUAGAUUUGGUAUUGGUCGUUUUACAACUCUCGAAGAGGUUGAUUAUACUGCUGAACAUACGAUUCGGCAUGUUAAAAGACUUCGAGAAAUGAGUCCAUUAUGGGAAAUGGUUCAAGAGGGAAUUGAUUUGAAAACUAUCAAAUGGACUCAGCACUAGUGGCUUUUUGCCAUAUAUCCUUAACUAUUUCAUUAUGUAGAUAGUGUGGAUUAAAUGAUACUGACCCAUAUGUGACAAUAUCAAGUAAAUGCUGGGAUAAAAGGUGAAAGGAUGUUGAAUUGUCUAAUGCAAAAACUAAAAU
rnacentral:misc_RNA from 1 species